CUACGGGCGGCAGCAGUAGGGAAUCUUCCACAAUGGGCGAAAGCCUGAUGGAGCAACGCCGCGUGAGUGAAGAAGGUUUUCGGAUCGUAAAACUCUGUUGUAAGGGAAGAACAAGUACAGUAGUAACUGGCUGUACCUUGACGGUACCUGAUUAGAAAGCCACGGCUAACUACGUGCCAGCAGCCGCGGUAAUACGUAGGUGGCAAGCGUUGUCCGGAAUUAUUGGGCGUAAAGCGCGCGCAGGCGGUCCUUUAAGUCUGAUGUGAAAGCCCACGGCUCAACCGUGGAGGGUCAUUGGAAACUGGGGGACUUGAGUGCAGAAGAGGAAAGUGGAAUUCCAAGUGUAGCGGUGAAAUGCGUAGAGAUUUGGAGGAACACCAGUGGCGAAGGCGACUUUCUGGUCUGUAACUGACGCUGAGGCGCGAAAGCGUGGGGAGCAAACAGGAUUAGAUACCCCGGUAGUC
rnacentral:rRNA from 1 species